GAACGCAUCCUUCGGGGUGAGUGGCAGACGGGUGAGUAACACGUGGGAACGUACCCCUUUGUUCGGAAUAACCCUGGGAAACUAGGGCUAAUACCGGAUACGGCCGUGAGGCGAAAGGUUUACUGCAGAGGGAUCGGCCCGCGUCCGAUUAGCUAGUUGGUGAGGUAACGGCUCACCAAGGCGACGAUCGGUAGCUGGUCUGAGAGGAUGGCCAGCCACAUUGGGACUGAGACACGGCCCAA
rnacentral:rRNA from 1 species